rnacentral:lncRNA from 1 species
GGGGAAGCCUGCUCCUGGGGUUAAGGAGUAUUGUUCAGACUGGGGCACUUUAGGGGCAGUAAUAAUGCCUGGACAACAGUCAGCUGGGGUCUUCUUGAGCACCGGGGUGUCUGGGUACCCACAAGUGAAGCGGGCCUGGGAGGUAGGUCUCUGCAGUCCCAGCAGACAGCAGGGCUCAAGGGUGAGAGGACUGAGCAAAACUCUUCUAACCAGCUUCUCUGCUCUCCACUCCAGCCUGGGGCAAUCAUCCUGGCCUCUUCCCACUUCCCCGGAAGCCCAGUAUAAGAGCUGCCUCUGGGGCCCAACAGCCAGAAGCACUGAGAGUGGAGGCCUCAGACUCCUGGAGGGAAUGAUGCCCCCAGUCUGGACAGCUGGGAGACCCAGGCAGACCUGAGUCAGAAUCUGGAAUGUUCAGGAGAGCAGGAGAGAGAUUCGGCCCUGACCCAGAAGGUGAUUCAGUCAGAGGGAGAGGAGACCGAGCCUUCCAGCUAUCGGGACACAUUUGAGGAUGAGGAGGCCAUGGAUUCUGACCCAGCUGCCCUAGACAAGGACUUGCAGUGCUCCAAGGAAGAGGACACAGUUUAAAUCCCGUGAAGUCCUAGGUGCAAGACUUGCCACUUCCUGUUGGUGCAGAACCUCGAAAUUUGUAAACGCUUGGGUAAGUGGCAGGGAGGCUAAUGUGGAGGACUGGGGGCGGAGAGGAGAAGAGGCUGGACUCAACCUUCUCUUCCCUUUUAGAUUAGUGGUUCUCAAAGCCUAGUGUGUGUCAGGAUCUCCUGGAGGGCUUGUUAAAAUACGUUUCUGGCUUUGCAAAUCUGGGGCGGGGCUUGACAGUUUGCAUUUAUAACAAUUCCCAGGUAAUGAUGGUGUUGUUGGUCUGGGGACUGCACUUUGAGAACCACUGUCUGAUCGAAAGGCUUUGGUAUUAAAUAUGCCUGUGUUCAGUCCUGGCUCUGCCUUUCAUUGGCUGUGUUACUGGGCAAGCCUGGUCACCUUUUAGGGCUUCAGAGUCCUCAUUUGUAAAAUGAAGAUAUACAGUACCCACCUGUUAGGGACAUGGUUGAGGAUUAAAUGAG